rnacentral:misc_RNA from 1 species
GAUGAAGAACGCAACGAAAUGCGAUAAGUAAUGUGAAUUGCAGAAUUCAGUGAAUCAUCGAAUCUUUGAACGCACAUUGCGCCCCUUGGUAUUCCGAGGGGCAUGCCUGUUCGAGCGUCAUUAUAACCCCUCAAGCUCAGCUUGGUGUUGGGGCCUGCUGCACUGGCAGCCCUUAAAAUCAGUGGCGGCGCCAUCUGGCUCUAAGCGUAGUAAUUCUUCUCGCUAUGGAGUCCUGGUGGAUGCUUGCCAUCAACCCCCAAUUUUUCUAUGGUUGACCUCGGAUCAGGUAGGGAUACCCGCUGAACUUAAGCAUAUCAAUAAGCGGAGGA